GCCCUUUUGGCUCUCUGAGCGGCAUCAUGGCGGUAGGCAAGAACAAGCGCCUUACGAAAGGCAGUAAAAAGGGAGCCAAGAAGAAAGUGAUUGAUCCAUUUUCUAAGAAAGAUUGGUAUGAUGUGAAAGCGCCUGCUAUGUUCAAUAUAAGAAAUAUUGGCAAAAUGCUGGUCACCAGGACGCAAGGAACCAAAAUUGCAUCCGAUGGCCUCAAGGGUCGUGUGUUUGAAGUGAAUCUUGCCGAUCUGCAGAAUGAUGAAGUUGCAUUUAGGAAAUUCAAGCUGAUCGCUGAAGAUGUUCAAGGCAAAAACUAUCUGACUAACUUCCAUGGCAUGGACCUGACCCGGGACAAAAUGUGCUCCAUGGUCAAAAAAUGGCAGACCAUGAUCGAAGCUCAUGUUGAUGUCAAGACUACCGAUGGUUAUUUGCUUCGUCUGUUCUGUGUUGGUUUUACUAAAAAAUGCAACAAUCAGAUACGGAAGACCUCUUAUGCUCAACACCAACAGGUCCGCCAGAUCCGGAAGAAGAUGAUGGAAAUCAUGACCCGGGAAGUGCAGACAAAUGACUUAAAAGAAGUGGUCAAUAAAUUG